AUGGCGACUGUGCCAGUUAACCCCAAGCCGUUCUUGCAAAACCUAACAGGGAAGAUGGUCAUCGUCAAGCUGAAAUGGGGCAUGGAGUACAAAGGAUAUCUUGUUUCAGUGGACUCCUACAUGAAUCUGCAGCUAAGUGGUACUGAGGAAUACAUUGAUGGGCAAUGCUCUGGAAAUUUGGGAGACAUACUGAUAAGAUGCAACAAUGUGAUGUAUCUCCGAGGUGUUCCAGAGGAGGACACGGACAUUCCAGAUGCGGCCUGA
rnacentral:rRNA from 1 species